rnacentral:rRNA from 1 species
ACACGGGGGGCGCAAGCGUUAUUCGGAAUUAUUGGGCGUAAAGGGCGUGUAGGCGGUCUCAUCGGUCAGAUGUGAAAGCCCAGGGCUCAACCCUGGACGUGCAUUUGAAACAGUAAGACUUGAGUACUGGAGAGGAAAGCGGAAUUCCUGGUGUAGAGGUGAAAUUCGUAGAUAUCAGGAGGAACACCGAUGGCGAAGGCAGCUUUCUGGACAGAAACUGACGCUGAUGCGCGAAGGCGUGGGUAGCGAACAGGAUUAGAAACCCGGGUAGUCC